UCCCUAGGUCAGGAGUGGGCUGCAAUU
rnacentral:piRNA from 1 species